rnacentral:rRNA from 1 species
UGCAAGUCGAACGCUUUGUGGUUCAACUGAUUUGAAGAGCUUGCUCAGAUAUGACGAUGGACAUUGCAAAGAGUGGCGAACGGGUGAGUAACACGUGGGAAACCUACCUCUUAGCAGGGGAUAACAUUUGGAAACAGAUGCUAAUACCGUAUAACAAUAGCAACCGCAUGGUUGCUACUUAAAAGAUGGUUCUGCUAUCACUAAGAGAUGGUCCCGCGGUGCAUUAGUUAGUUGGUGAGGUAAUGGCUCACCAAGACGAUGAUGCAUAGCCGAGUUGAGAGACUGAUCGGCCACU